GAACCAUAAAAAGGUUUUCUUCUGCUGGUGAAACUGGCACACAAAGAACUUCCUUUAAAUAGUUAUUCAAAGGGCACAGGAAGCAGAUGGUUGAGGGUGAGUUCCAACUCAGUGGCUUAGGGAAGAACCCUGGGAAAAUUAAGCUGAGAACUAGGACUGCUGCUGUUUCCUCUUCUGAACUCAGAGGAAUAUCAGACAGAUUAACAGCAACAAGAGAUGUUUGAAACUCUCCAUUGCAUCUUCAUGGCCAUCAGAAACAGAUACAAUCGAAGUGCGUCCAAUGCUGUUGUCAUGACUGAAGAUUUUAAGCAGAGAUUUUAACUGCAGCAGAGGGACCAGACACGAAGCUGUCUGGGAUUCUGAUGCUCAUUCACAUUGGAGGACUGCCUGUUUUCUUCCUGCUAGUAUCUCUGCACUUGUCACUCUCUGGGUCUGGAAAGUCUUGCUUUACCCUCGAGGGUCACCUGGUCAAGCCCAGAAGAUGCUGAUGGAA